rnacentral:rRNA from 1 species
GUCGAGCGGCAGCACAGAGGAACUUGUUCCUUGGGUGGCGAGCGGCGGACCUUUGAGUAAUGCCUGGGAAAUUGCCCGGUAGAGGGGGAUAACCUUUGGAAACGAUGGCUAAUACCGCAUAACCUCGCAAGAGCAAAGCAGGGGACCUUCGGGCCUUGCGCUACCGGAUAUGCCCAGGUGGGAUUAGCUAGUUGGUGAGGUAAGGGCUCACCAAGGCGACGAUCCCUAGCUGGUCUGAGAGGAUGAUCAGCCACACUGGAACUGAGACACGGCCCAGACUCCUACGGGAGGCAGCAGUGGGGAAUAUUGCACAAUGGGCGCAAGCCUGAUGCAGCCAUGCCGCGUGUAUGAAGAAGGCCUUCGGGUUGUAAAGUACUUUCAGUAGGGAGGAAGGUGGUUAAGUUAAUACCUUAAUCAUUUGACGUUACCUACAGAAGAAGCACCGGCUAACU